AGAAGUAAUCAUACUUAACAUGUUUUUAUUACUGUAUUGUAUACUUAAACUUGUUAGUGUAUAAAUGUAACAUACUGUGGGUGCUGGUAGGUGAAGGAUUAGUGGUUCUUCACCACAGGACUGUUCUGUGAUGGAGCAUCAGUAAUGAUGCAGGUCAGGAGUACUGAGGGGACCAUGGUGAGAAUGAAAACAAAAGCCUCAAUCCUCAACCUCAGCCGUAUAAAUCUUUUGGAGAUUUUUCCCUCUACUCCACAGCAUGAUGGAAGCCUGCUGGAGAGUGACUGAGCUUCUUUCUCCAACACAUCCACUGCAUUGGGGAGCUCCAUGAGGUAGGAACUACUCUUGGACCUAAAUAGUUUCUCAAUUUCUUGGGUGAAGUCAUAGGCUUCUUGGGAGGGACGACAAAGAGCACCUGCCUUGAAUUCUUUUAAGUUUAGUAAGAUACUGUUAUUUCCAGCAGGAUUGUCAUCUGUUUGCCGUGUUGCAGUUUUGCAUUUUCCACAGAUGCUGGCAAAUCGGAUUAAUUUGUGGACAAUGUAGCCUGCGAGAUGGAAGAGAAUACAUUUCUCUGUUUUUGUGAGGUCAGGUGCUGUUCUGUUCUCCACCAUCAGCUGUUCCACUCUGACUGAUGGAGUGACGUUUUGUUUCACUGUUUCCAGGAAGUCUGCCAAAAAACUACUGUCAUCUUCCUGGUAGCUCCCAGAGGUGAUGGCGCUGAAGAACUGACCUACGGAUA
rnacentral:lncRNA from 1 species